rnacentral:rRNA from 1 species
UACGGAGGGUGCAAGCGUUAUCCGGAUUCCCUGGGUUUAAAGGGUGCUUAGGUGGGCAGGUAAGUCCGUGGUGAAAUCCUAUAGCUUAACUAUAGAACUGCCAUGGAUACUAUUUGUCUUGAAUGUCGUAGAGGUAAGCGGAAUAUGUCAUGUAGCGGUGAAAUGCUUAGAUAUGACAUAGAACACCAAUUGCGAAGGCACCUUAGUAUGCGAUGAGUGACACUGAGGCACGAAAGCGUGGGUAGCAAACAGG